CAGGCAGCCAAUCAAUAACCGCCCUUCUGCCUGGGCUGCGACUUUACCAACUUCGCAACGCGACAUUGUACCUGCGAUGAUCGCCACCGUUCGAGCAAUCCAUGGCGUCCUCGAGAAUUUUUAAAGGAACUGGAAUCUUUCUGGUGAAGUUGAACGAGGAAUUUUUAGGGGAACAGCGGGGGAAAAGUUUAAAAUUUGAAAGAAUCUUUGGUAAUUGAUCAAAGAAGAGGAAAUAUUACACGGUGGACGACGAUUUUUAUUAAGACAGUGUUGCAGUGGCCUCGAGGAGGGCAAAAGGAACAAACGAUUAAGAAAGUUGUUUAAACCGAGCCAUGAGGGGCGCAGGGUACGGCGAAUUGGAGUUGCACCGUUUCGACUAAAGCGCGAUUGGGACUCGAUGACACGGCCGGCGUGCUAUCGAUUUUAGGUUAUGUCCAAUGAAACGCGUCCAAUAUAAAUUCUCACGAUAGCGCGCCACUCGAAACAGCCUCCGUGACGCUGCUAGUCAACUGGCAGAUAUUUAUAGAGAAACAACUGUGAGAAGAAGUUGAGAAUGUUGAGGCUUAAUCGCAGUGAAAUAUAAGCAGAAAAACAAAUUUUAAUAUAUAACAAGACGAUCCAGGAAUUGCUGCAAACUAUUGCAACCACCGCUACGUUCAUAAAUGGGUCAAAUUUUGUAAUUGGUGAAUAAAUCAAAUAAAAUCCUGAAGCACAAAUAAUCUCACCACUUUCAGUUGGGGAAGCAUCUAAACUGAUAAAUCAAAAUGCUAUCCGUAAUUACUGCGUUAGUUAUAACGCCAGGGAAUUUCAGAUAAUGUGUUCGCAUUAAAUCCCUCCACUCGAAAAUAGCUGAAUGAAUUUCGUUCAAUUAUCAGGGGAAGCUAGAAACGCGCGUGCCAUUACGGAAAUUGUUAAACUUUCCACUCGGAUACUCUGCGACUGCAAAUUGCUUAUCUCUUUGUUACGGAAGGGUGGGAACGCGCUUGAUGAUACUGACGAAGGCUAGUGACCAUUGCGUAAAACGCGAUAAAACACGUCUGAGGAAAUGAUAUCGUUAAAAUAAAUGUAAAUAAACUUGGAAUUAUAAUUGUAAUUUACGGCAAUAUUACAUGUGUGGUUACACUUAAUCGCGUGGAUGAUAUUAUCACAAAUUGUGAUUGUAUCGAGACGUAAAUUGAAUCGAUAUAUGUCUCGACAUUUUUAAUAUUUGAAGUUGUAAGGAAUGGGAAUAAGCGAUGCAAUUCCACGGCCUAACCACACACACGCAUAAUGUGUGUUCAUUAAUUAGUAAGAAAGUUUGUUCUUUUUCUUAAUCUGAAGGAUAAAUAAGAGAAUUAAUGAGUUAUGUUUGACCGAUGACAGAUAAUCUAAAAAGCGUCGAUAAAGCUCAAAUUGUCUGAUAGUAAAACAGAUUUCCGAUUUAUCGUCAAUAGAAUGCUACUUUAUGUGGAAUCUACAAUAUCGACUAGUCAGUAAGGAAGAACGUUACAAAUUUUCACAAAGAAUUUUAGAAUUUACCAACAGCGCAGCAAAAGUCAUUUUUCAAGCAA